CCAUAUCCGGGAAGGAUAAGCGCUGAAAGCAUCUAAGCGCGAAACCUGCCUCAAGAUAAGGUUUCCCACUGGAAAACCAGGUAAGACCCCAUGUAGACUACGUGGUAGAUAGGCCGGGAGUGUAAGUCCCGUGAGGGAUUCAGCUGACCGGUACUAAUAGGUCGAGGGCUUGACCUG
rnacentral:ncRNA from 1 species